rnacentral:rRNA from 1 species
CACGUAGGGUGCGAGCGUUGUCCGGAAUUAUUGGGCGUAAAGAGCUCGUAGGCGGUGUGUCACGUCGGCCGUGAAAACCUGCAGCUUAACUGUGGGCGUGCGGUCGAUACGGGCAUCACUGGAGUUCGGCAGGGGAGACUGGAAUUCCUGGUGUAGCGGUGAAAUGCGUAGAGAUCGGGAGGAACACCAGCGGCGAAGGCGGCAAACUGGAUAGGAACUGACACUCAACAACGAAAGCGUGGGGAGCAAACAGG